rnacentral:rRNA from 1 species
GAUGAACGCUGGCGGCGUGCCUAAUACAUGCAAGUCGAGCGAACAGACGAGGAGCUUGCUCCUCUGACGUUAGCGGCGGACGGGUGAGUAACACGUGGAUAACCUACCUAUAAGACUGGGAUAACUUCGGGAAACCGGAGCUAAUACCGGAUAAUAUAUUGAACCGCAUGGUUCAAUAGUGAAAGACGGUUUUGCUGUCACUUAUAGAUGGAUCCGCGCCGCAUUAGCUAGUUGGUAAGGUAACGGCUUACCAAGGCAACGAUGCGUAGCCGACCUGAGAGGGUGGUCGCCCACACUGGAACUGAGACACGGUCCAGACUCCUACGGGAGGCCGCAGUAGGGAAUCCUCCGCAAUGGGCGAAAGCCUGACGGAGCAACGCCGCGUGAGUGAUGAAGGUCUUCGGAUCGUAAAACUCUGUUAUUAGGGAAGAACAAAUGUGUAAGUAACUAUGCACGUCUUGACGGUACCUAAUCAGAAAGCCACGGCUAACUACGUG